CCAAGGAGUGCAACAUGCGUGCGAGUCUUUGGGUGGCAAACCCAACGGCACAAUGAAAGUGAAGGCAGGCGUUGGUCUGCUUAGGCGAGAGUCUUCGUACGGAGACACAUCGUCGACCGAUCCCAGGUCACGCUGUGGCGGGAUUUGAGUGAGAGCGUGCCUGUUGCGACCCGAAAGAUGGUGAACUAUGCCUGAAUAGGGUGAAGCCAGAGGAAACUCUGGUGGAAGCUCGUAGCGAUUCUGACGUGCAAAUCGAUCGUCAAAUUUGGGUAUAGGGGCGAAAGACUAAUCGAACCAUCUAGUAGCUGGUUCCCUCCGAAGUUUCCCUCAGGAUAGCUGGAGCCCGGUGCAGUUUUAUCAGGUAAAGCGAAUGAUUAGAGGUCUUGGGGUUGAAACAACCUCAACCUAUUCUCAAACUUUAAAUGGGUAAGAAGCUUGGCUUGCUUAAUUGAAGUCAGGCAUUGAAUGCCGGGGCUCCAAGUGGGCCAUUUUUGGUAAGCAGAACUGGCGAUGUGGGAUGAACCAAAUGCUGGGUUAAGGUGCCCGAAUCARCGCUCAUCAGAUACCAUGAAAGGU
rnacentral:rRNA from 1 species